rnacentral:lncRNA from 1 species
GGCUGAAACAUGAAACAAAUGGGUUUGCCUUUUUUGUUUAUGAUGGGCCCAAAUUAAACCAAGUUUAAGAUAGCACAAAAAUAACUAAAAGAUACAGGUAACCCUAAAAAACCCUAGAUGCGGCCGCUGUUGUUGUUCACAGAAAACAAAAAGUAGAGCAUUGGAGAGAUAGAAGCAACAAAGAAAGAAGGAGAAGGAGACGAAAAGAUACCGAGAUGAGGCCGCGAGACGGAGAGGAGACCAAGGAGAAAGAUACGGUCGCUCCAAAAGGCACCGGUUCCGACGACAAUGGUCGCUCCAAAAGGCACCGGUUCCGACGACAAUGGUCGCUCCAAAAGGCACCGGUUCCGACGACAACGAUGACAAUAUGAAGGUUUGGGUUUUUCUCCUUUUGUCUAUUCUUUCGUUUUUACACACAAAUUGGAUAUUUUGUUAACUGUAAUGUUUGCUCUUCUGAUGAGUAUUAGUAUAUUUUCCUAUCAAUCAUCUCAUGUUUCAAAACAUUCAAACUAACAACUCUCUUUAAUUUUUUACCGAACUCGCCUCUACCUCUGCCUCUUUUUUUUUUUAUCAAACUUAAAAGAAGAUGUAUUUAUAGAGUCUUUUAUAUGUUUGGUCGUUUUCUGGUCUGUGCCACUGUUUGAAUUUGAGCUUUCCAAAUCCUUGUUUGAUGUUUUAAUUUGUUUGCUCAUCAUCUGUAUUUUCCUGCACCACUGAUGCCUUCAUAAAUUUAGAUUAUUUGUUUUGAUCUGUUGAUUUGCUGAGCUUAUUCAUUUGUCUUUUAGUUUCUUUUUUUUUUUUAACUCAAAAAUUUGUCAUUUAGUUCUGCAUAAUGUAUACAAAUACUGACUUAUAAAUUAUGUUUUUAUGUUUCUCUAAUUAGUUACAAAGCAAAGGUCAAUGACACUGCAUCUGAAACAGAAAGGCAGCAACAAAACAGAGCCAAACAUUGCAUCAGAAACAGAGAGGCAACAACAACAACAAAUUAUUGUAAUUUAAUUUAGUUUGAUUUAAAUCUUAUUGUAAUUUAAUUUGAUUUAAUAUUUAUGGUUACAAUUUGAUUGUAAUUGUAAUUUAAAAAUUAUAACUUGAUUUGGCAUUGUAAAUUGAUGAGCUACUUAUUGUAAACAUAAUUACUUC